rnacentral:lncRNA from 1 species
CCCAUAUAACAACUGCCGUCUGUAAUUUUGUCUCUCUCCAAAAACAAAUUGCUAUUUCUCGCUAUACAGCUCACGCGUUUCAGUACUUCCACCCGUGCGUGUUUUCUACAAAUAUAUUACGAAAUUGGAGUGAUACGCUGUAGGAUUUUUGAUCGAUUAAUUUGAAAUCAAAGUAAAUUGAUGGAUUCUUCUCCUCCGCCGCCUUUCGAAUCUUCUUCAUCGCCGUCGAGUUCCGCCGCGGAACCGGUUUUAACGGCUGAGCAAAAGCGGGAAGAAAAGGAAAAGGAGAUGGUGCACAAGACUAAAGUGAUACAGUUCCUGGGACGGACCACGCCAAUUAUUCUGCAAAAUGAUAAUGGGCCAUGUCCUCUCCUUGCUAUCUGUAAAUUCAUUUUCCCUCUCUUUUAGGGCUUUACGAGCUGUCUAUACGUUUAUUGUAUGUUUGUGUAUUUUCUUUUGUUUGUAAUAAUUGUAAAUAGUUAAGUAACUUGAUUAGUUGAGAAACAAAAGAUGUGUAUACUUCAUGUUUUUCCCCUAUUUAUGCUCGCUUCUAAUGACUUGAUCCAUUUAGAAACAAGAUAACAAAACAACUUUGCUACUGAAACGAUGGAUUUGGCUAAUUUAUUCGCAAAUUAUCUGGCCUUGAAUUGGAUAGUUAUUACAUUUCGACUCCCUCCUCUGCAAGGGAUUUAUACUUUCACUUAGUUUUAAUUUAUUUACGAACUGAAUUGAUGUUGUAUGUGGUAGUAGAAGAAAAGGAGUAGUAGGUCUUCUGUACGAAAACGAAGUAUAAACACGUAGUAAAUGAUUUAUGACAAUUACUUACUAGCAUGGUUAUUUUCCAUAUAUAUAAGCAUAUAUGUAUAACUACUAUGAUUUCCCUUUUUUUGUGCUCCUUUUGAAUCAUUUUCAAUGAAGCAUGUGAAUUUUUAGAAUGGGAAUUAUGGAUUGUAUAACGCAUAGAAAAAAAUUGGCCAUUUUGUCGCAAUCUGGUUCUAUCUGAAUUACACGUUGGGUUCAGAUUUUUUAGAUUAUAAGAUGUGAACCCUGUGAAAUGUGUGGUUAAAAAGUGGAUAAAAGUUGUGGACCAAAGAGGGGCUUAAUGAAUUUCUAUUUUCCGGACAGAGUGUCUGUCAACUGUUCCCUUAUCAUUGCUAAUUCUAUUUGCUGCUGUCAGAAAUUGAGUUUUGUGGUCGUAUAAUUUUGUUUAACUUUCGAUGUUCUAUAAUCGGAUAUUCUGUUGCUAAAUGAGUAUUCUUCUAAUUCUAACUUAUAUUUCUGAGCACCAUUUUAACAUUAGUCGCUACCCUUUUUCUGUUCAGUUAUAUUUUUCUAUCCUACCUGUGCGCUAUUGUCACGGGUCAUUAUACACGUUUUUUUUAAUCUGUCCUUAGAAAAGGGUUUGGAUUGAGUUGUGUUCUUGUGGUUUGUUUAAAAUGUUACGUCUAGUGACUAUGUUUUGAAUUUUUUCAUUCUCAAAUUAUUGAACUAUUGCAUGCCCGGUGAUUGGCAAUUGUUUCAAAAGUUUGUAUUUCACAUGGCUGAAUAUUUUGGUUUAUAAAAUAUAUGGAAUUUUAUUGUCUGAUCAUAUCUAAGAUGUCCUUUUUAUUGUGUUUGAGUGACUUCUUUCUGUGGUUUAAUCAUCGCAUGUUGCGUUUGGUGAUAGGUAAUGUUCUCUUGUUAAAGAACAGCUUGAAAUUAAGUCCAGACAUUGCGGAGGUUUCCCAGGAGAAAUUGCUUUUUCUUAUUGCUGAUCGGUUAAUUGAUUCAAACAGCAACAUCAAUGUAACUGCCUUUUGCACUAUCUUGUCUAUGUUCUUUUUAGCAUGUUCAUAAAACAAUUUUAAUAAUUGAGAAUUGUAAUUUCCCUUGCUCAUCUUCAUCAUAUAUUUGACUGACUUAAUUGGGUUCCAGGACAAAGAUGCUGGAUAUGCUGAAAAUCAGCAACAGAAUAUCUCCGAUGCAAUUGAUUUGCUUCCUAGUCUUACUACUGGCAUUGAUGUAAAUAUAAAAUUUAGAAGGUAGAUUAGCUUUUAUUUUAUUUUUAUAUACUUUUUUAAUACUAUCAUAAUUUUAUGCUAGAAAUAAUGUUUUAAGCGAUUACAAGUGGGGUAUAUGGCUUGCGUGAUGCUCAGCGACCUUUUCUAUAUGUAUAAGAUUUAUCUCUAUUGCAUACAGUAUAAUUGUGAAUUAGUAGGG